CCUCGGGAGGCUGCAGUGGGGAAUAUUGGACAAUGGGGGGAACCCUGAUCCAGCGACGCCGCGUGAGUGAAGAAGUAUUUCGGUAUGUAAAGCUCUAUCAGCAGGGAAGACAAUGACGGUACCUGACUAAGAAGCCCCGGCUAACUACGUGCCAGCAGCCGCGGUAAUACGUAGGGGGCAAGCGUUAUCCGGAUUUACUGGGUGUAAAGGGAGCGCAGACGGCUAAACAAGUCUGAAGUGAAAGGCGUGGGCUCAACUCAUGGACUGCUUUGGAAACUGUGUAGCUUGAGUAUCGGAGGGGUAAGCGGAAUUCCUAGUGUAGCGGUGAAAUGCGUAGAUAUUAGGAGGAACACCGGAGGCGAAGGCGGCUUACUGGACGAUAACUGACGUUGAGGCUCGAAGGCGUGGGGAGCAAACAGGAUUAGAUACCCUUGUAGUC
rnacentral:rRNA from 1 species